rnacentral:rRNA from 1 species
AUUGAACGCUGGCGGCAGGCCUUACACAUGCAAGUCGAGCGAGCGGCGGACGGGUGAGUAAUGACUAGGAAGGUGCCUGGUAGCGGGGGGUAACUACCGGAAAGGGGAGCUAAUACCGCAUACUAUUAGAGCGGCCCAUAUGGGAUUAGCUAGAUGGUGGGGUAACGGCUCACCAAGGCGACGAUCCCUAGCUGGUUUGAGAGGACGACCAGCCACACUGGAACUGAGACACGGUCCAGACUCCUACGGGAGGCAGCAGUGGGGAAUAUUGCACAAUGGGCGCAAUCCUGAUGCAGCCAUGCCGCGUGUGUGAAGAAGGCCUUCGGGUUGUAAAGCACUUUCAGCAGGGAGGCGUUACCCGCAGAAUAAGCACCGGCUAACUCCGUGCCAGCAGCCGCGGUAAUAC